UCUUAUCGCGAGAGGCGGAGGGCUCGGCCCGAAGAAGCCUCGGCAACCACUGCGCGUGGGCAACGCUGAAUUUAGGCUGACAAGCGCGUGGCAGGUGCCAAUUCCGACAGCAUGGUCUGAAAGAUGAGA
rnacentral:ncRNA from 1 species